CCAAACUUGAGUGAGUAACAUGGUCAGAGGAUGGAGAAGAGACUUUUCUGGGACUCCUUGCUAUGGGAGCCUACUAUGGGAGCCCCGUGCACUGUGAUUCCAAAAUCUGCAUGUGAACAGUGCUAUAGCUGAAUUGGGAGGAUAAACGGGAUAAAGGUGAAAGUCUGGAUGAAAAUCGAAGACAUGGACAGACUACAUGAAGUGGUUGCGUCUACUUUGCUGUUGUUCAGUCACUCAAUCUCAUCUGACUCUAGGAGCCUGGCGGGCUACAGUCCAUGGGGUCACAAAGAGUUGGACACGACUGAGCAACUUAGUGCACAGCCACUAUGGAGAACAGGAUGGAGGUUCCUUAACAAACUAAAAAUAGAGCUGCCAUAUGACCCUGCAGCCCCACUUCUGGACAUACAUCUGGAGAAAAAUAUGAUCAGAAAGGAUACAUGCACCUCAGUGUUCACUGAAGCACGUUCUUACAAUAACCAAGACAUGGCAGCAACCUAAAUGUCCACCAACAGACAGAUGGAUAAAGAAGAUGUGGGAAAUAUAUACAAUGGAAUAAGACUCGGCCAUUAAAAAGGAAAUGAUGCCAUUUGCAGCAGAAUGGAUGGACCUAGGGAGAGUCAUACUGAAUGAAGUCAGUCAGACAGAGAAGGAGAAACAUUAUAGACGUCUCUUAUAUGUGGAAUCUAGAAAGAAAUGGUGCAAAUGAACUUUCAAAACAGAAAGAGACUCACAGGCUUAGAAAACACACUUACGGUUGCCUGGGGAAAGGGGUGGUUAGGGAGUGUGGGAAGGUUGUGUCCAGCGCUAUAUUCAAAAUGGAUAACCAACAGGACCUAGUAUAUAGCACAUGGAACUCUGCUCAGUGUUAUGUGCCAGCCUGCAGAGGAGGGGGCUUUGGGAGAGAACACGUAUGCAUGUGUGCUAAGUUGCAAGUCACUUCGGUCAUGUCUACAUCUGUCUGUUUAUGGACUGUAGCCCGCCAGACUCCUCUGUCCAUGGGAUUUUUCAGGCAAGCAUAUUGGAGCAGGUUGCCAUUUCCUCCUCCAGGGGAUCUUCCUUAUCCAGGGAUCAAACCUGUGUCUCCAGUGACUUCUGCAUUGCAGUGGAUUCUCUACUGAGCCACCAGGGAAGCCUGGAUCCAUGUAUAUGUAUGGUGGAGUCCCUUCACUAUUGACCUGAAACUUCUACAACAUUGUUAAUCGGCUAUACCCCAAUACAAAAUAAAAAGUUUGAAAUUUGAAAAAAAAAAAAAAAAAGAGCUGCUGGAUCCUAUGGCUACAGGCUACUUGUGCAGUGCCCUAUGAGCUGCCUUUCAUGGCCAACAAAGAGCUGUUUGGUUUGUGGGCAGAAGCUCCGCAGUGAGUGGACCCCUUCCUAUUUGGCAGGCUACCACUCUGAUAGAAGAAAAUCAAAGCAAAUCAACUCAGGGGGCUGAUUUGCAUUUUUCCUACCAGUGGUGGAAGGACUGAACAAUAGUAAAAAGACCCUAUAGCUGGGUUUUUACUGACUCACAGGCAGGGGCCAAUGGCCUGGCCAUAUGGUCAGGCAGAGGGCAAUGGAAAGCUGGCCUGUUAACAGGAUGACCAUAUGGGGUGCAUAGGACAUGUGACGCCCAGCAGAAGAGCACCUGCCAGAUUUGGAGAUGAUUUGAAUGAACAAAUAGGUUUCCUAGGGUGCUCAUUUGAGGUGGCCACCUGGGUCCAUGAAGUAGAUGGACAGGGAGAUGUCAUCCUCAGAGUAAUGAGCAAUUGAAACGUCUUUUAAAUUGAAGUGUAGUUGAUUUACAAUGUUGUGUUAGUUUCAGGUAUACAGAAAAGUCUUUCAGUUAUAUGUAUAGUUAUAUAUAACUAUUCAGUAUCACAAUAAUCUGAGCCUAUGCCCCAACCAGUAACGUUGAAGAAGCCAAAGUUGAAUGGUUCUAUGAAGACCUACAAUACCUU
ensembl:lncRNA